UACGGGGGGGGCAAGCGUUGUUCGGAAUUACUGGGCGUAAAGGGUUCGUAGGUGGCUUGCUAAGUCAGAAGUGAAAUCCCAGGGCUUAACCCUGGAACUGCUUUUGAGACUGCCUGUCUGGAAUUCGGUAGAGGGUUGGUGGAACUCCCAGUGUAGAGGUGAAAUUCGCAGAUAUUGGGAAGAACACCGGUGGCGAAGGCGACCAACUCGGACCGACAUUGACACUGAGGCACGAAAGCGUGGUAGCAACAGG
rnacentral:rRNA from 1 species